GGGGAUAUUGCUCAGGCGUAGAGCGCUCGCUUCGCAUUCGAGAAGCCUGGGGUUCGUCUCCCCAUACCUCCA
rnacentral:tRNA from 1 species